UUCAUCUUCUUUCUUAUUUUACCUAGUUGAUUCAAGAUACCAAGACAGCUAGUGUACUUUCAGACAUCUGAGACAACUCUAAAAAACUCUCAUCAUCAAUAGGAUACACCAAGUAGUACACAUUCACACAUCUAUACAUCAACAUACCCUCAGACGUCAAAUUCAAACUCGAACAGUUCUCAGAACAUCCGUAUAAUUAGAUACUGCAUCUAUUACAACUGGAGCAACUUGUCUCAAACUAUGAGUACAUAUAUUUUCAGAAUAUGUAAUAAAGCAAACAUGUACACUGAUCUAAUGUAUAUAUUUAAUAUGAUUUACCUCCACUUAGAAUAUAGAUUUUGCUCUCACUAUUUGGUCUUAUUGAUCCAUUCGCUCCUGACCUUAUCCAAAAUAUGAAUAUAUACCGACCUAUCUAGGGUAAUUUACACAAAUCCCUCAAAAAUGGUCCUAUCUAAUGUUUUUACCUCAACUUUUUUAUUUUUACAAUAAUCUCUCAAUAAAAUAUAAAAGUUUUCACAAUUCCCUUAUACCCAAAAUAAGCUGAAUUUAUUAAAAUAGAACAAUUUUAACCUCUACCUUCCGUUCUUAAUUCAUGUGGAAAGUUUCAAGCUAAAAAUUAGGAGUGGUUGGUUGGUGGUUGGAUUUUAGAUAGUCGGUCAAUAAUCAGACUGCCGGCGGCGGUGAUCGGAUCAACUGUGCGACCGAGAUGGUUGGAUCAAUGGCGGUGGUCGAUACUGCUCCGAGUUUCUAGAUCGCCGCAUCAUUCCCGGUGAUCGCUGCAUCAUUCUCUUGACUUUCAUAUUACCAUUGAUCCUUUUUAUUUAUGUUAUUGAUCGAUGACAGAUACAAUUGGUUUGAUAUGGUGGCGCGGUGGUUAGAUCGGCAACACGGUGGCUGGAUCGGUAGUGCGGUGGUUUGGCUCCUUCAAAUUUGGUGGAAGAUAUUGAAUAAGUUAAUCAUUUGUUGUUUGCCCAAAUUUUGGUAGGAUAUGCUACUGUGAUAUAUUCAUGCUGAUAUAUUACAUCUCCAACAUCAAUUUCAACAAUCACAAAGAAAUGGAUUUCUCGUAAAAUAGUGGCUCAUGCUUUAGCUCAAUCUUGUAAAAUUUCAUACAGGUAGAUACUUAGUCAUUAAUAUUAGAUUUUAAUUGUGUUGUUUAGGUUGUAAGAUUGGCCUAUUUUCUUAAUACGAUAUCUUCUGUUAAAAAAUUUGAGGUUGAAGAUGAUGGUUAAUAUACCUAUUUGAUCCAAAUGGUGUAAAAUGAUAUUUUAGCCAAAAUUAAGAAAAGUCGACAUUCUUGUCAA